CUAAUCCAGAUGCUUCCCCGAGAUGCAGCUGAGGUGCUGGGUUAGCAGCAGUAAAACUCAACUGCGCACUUCUCUGCAGGUUGCAUUCAUCAUGCAUCUGCAGAUGUUUUUAGACAUUCCACUUCUACCCACCAGAGGGAUUUUUAAAGUUCUGGGAUAAAGGGGCAGCUUCUGGCUUUCCUUAUGCAGGAGACAGUUGUCAUGAUUAGAUGGUUAUUGUGAGUGUCCUGCAGUACAGUGAAACCUGUAUUUAUGGCCCCCUGUACUUACAGUCACCUGCUAUUGGCAGUUGCCAGUGUUAAUAGCUGAUGAAAUCCCAUUCCCUGGGAAAUGUUCUCUCUUGCAUAAUCCUUCACUCUCUAACAGGCAGCCACCUGCCUGGCACGCUUUGGCCACCUGUCGGCCUGCCCAGCUGUGUAAAUUGCAUUGCAAUCAGCAUGGCAAGGCAGCUCGAAGGAGGUACCGCUCGGUGCCUGCAGAUUACUUGUGUAACAUGUUUUCAAGUCAUUGACUUUUACAUUGCAAACAAAGUCUUUUUAUUUGACCUUUUAAAUGCUCUGUUGCAAAAUGUACAGGAGUACAGUGACAGCACAUAUGUGGAAAUUGCUUUCAUGCUGAUUUUUGGGCACUUUGUAACGCCUGCCGGAUGUUGGACAAGUCAUACAGAUAGGUACACAGAUCCCUACCUUCUCACAGGAACGCAGAGGCUUGAGUUACUGCCAGAGCACGCGAGCCAGCCACAGCUGCGCAAGGCACUGGCUCCCCGUCUGACAGCGUGGGUGAGGCUGUUCCCUGCUUCGUGGCAUCACGAAAGAGCUCCUGUGGUGGUGGGACUGCGGGAGGAAGCCCCGGCAAGGCCACGGCGGAGAGCCACUGCUCCUGAGGCAUAGGGCCUGGGGCCAGCACUGCGGGAGCUCUGCAGAGGCCUGACGGGCAGCAGCCGUUGCUUUGCUUGGGGGUACUCCGGUGUCCUGUGCCAUCCCCACGGCCAGGGGCCCUUGUCAUGUGCCAUCCCCUGGCCAGCCGUCCUGGCUGCAGCCCCAUGUCCUGUGCCAUCCCCACGGCCGGGGGCCCUGGCUGCAGCCCCAUCAUCACCAGUGGCGUGCCGACCAUUUCCUGCUUCACGCGGUUCUGAAGCGGCUGUGGCUGAGCAUUCAAAUUAUUUUUGAAGAGCUAUAUGACUACUUAGGGGCUUACGUGGCAGAAAUUAUGGAGUGAAUAAAUGAAUGACUGGUGG
rnacentral:lncRNA from 1 species